UACGGAGGGUGCAAGCGUUAUCCGGAUUCACUGGGUUUAAAGGGUGCGUAGGCGGGCAGGUAAGUCCGUGGUGAAAUCUCUGAGCUUAACUCAGAAACUGCCAUGGAUACUAUUUGUCUUGAAUGUUGUGGAGGUAAGCGGAAUAUGUCAUGUAGCGGUGAAAUGCUUAGAUAUGACAUAGAACACCAAUUGCGAAGGCAGCUUACUACACGAUCAUUGACACUGAGGCACGAAAGCGUGGGGAGCAAACAGG
rnacentral:rRNA from 1 species